UACAGAGGGUGCGAGCGUUUAAUCGGAAUUACUGGGCGUAAAGCGCGCGUAGGCGGCUUUGCAAGUCGGGUGUGAAAUCCCCAGGCUUAACCUGGGAACUGCAUUCGAGACUGCAUUGCUAGAGUAUGGGAGAGGGAAGUGGAAUUUCCGGUGUAGCGGUGAAAUGCGUAGAUAUCGGGAGGAACAUCUGUGGCGAAGGCGAUACCCUGGACCAGCACUGACACUGAGGCACGAAAGCGUGGGGAGCAAACAGG
rnacentral:rRNA from 1 species